AUGGAAGGAGCAAAGGCGCCGGCGGGAGGCGCAUCUGGUAGUGGAGCUGGGGAGGGCGCCCGUGGCCCGGAUCCAAGCUUAGAGGAUAGAUUUCAGGGUCUGAAUCUUCACGGAGAGGAGGAGGACGAGUUGGAUUUGUCAGGUGAGAUCGAUGAAUUGAUUGAAGAGACGAGGUGGAUUGCUAUUUUUAGGGUUCAUACACAAUGACCCUUUAGCCAUGUUGCCCUGUACAAAGCGAUGAGGAAUGCUUGGACGCCAGCACAGGGAGUGAUCUUCAAGGCAAUGAAACCAAACUUGUUCCUGGGUCAGUUCAUGUGUCUUGGCGAUUGGAAUCGCGUGAUGAACGGAGGGCCUUGGUUAUUUCGGAACGCAACAGUUCCUAUGGAGGAGUACGAUGGUCUGACAAACGUUGAGGAGUACAAGCUGGAUCGCAUCCCAGCGUGGGCACGUACCAUAGGCAUCCCUGAGGGGCUUAUGAAGAAGAAGGAGAUUGCUGAGAAGAUAGCAAGAAAAGUUGGAAUACCUCAUGUUAAGGUCAUUGUCAAUGAAGGUCGAAUCAAUCCUACAAAGUAA
rnacentral:rRNA from 1 species